CAGAAGCCCCGCCUUUACCAGUUACAGCAAGAUAUACACAGAGAUUAAAACUACAAUUGUGGGCGAACGGCGGCGCGGAUCAGACCAAGGUGGGAAAAGGACUUUGCCAGUAAGUUUCCUGACACUCAGUGGUUGGCAGCAUUUACGGAUCUAGGACGCAUGAGUAAGGGGGAGGUCCCCCGAAACGUCACGUCAUGACCCUGAUGGCUCCCAGGUAGUGAACAUAGACCUCUGCUAUACUGGAUGUGUGCCGACAUCCUAUCUUCUACUUCUGUUUUGUACUACAGAAAAGAUCC